ACCGUAAGGUGAGAGGAAGGUGGGGAUGACGUCAAAUCAGCACGGCCCUUAUGUCCAGGGCUACACACGUGUUACAAUGGCCAGUACAAAGGGCAGCUACCGGGUGACCGGAUGCUAAUCUCUAAAGCUGGUCUCAGUUCGGAUCGAAGUCUGCAACCCGACUUCGUGAAGCUGGAUUCGCUAGUAAUCGCGCAUCAGCCAUGGCGCGUCGAUACGUUCCGGCCUU
rnacentral:rRNA from 1 species